GCAGUCGCCGCGGGAAUACAGAGGGUGCGAGCGUUAAUCGGAUUUACUGGGCGUAAAGCGUGCGUAGGCGGCUUUUUAAGUCGGAUGUGAAAUCCCUGAGCUUAACUUAGGAAUUGCAUUCGAUACUGGGAAGCUAGAGUAUGGGAGAGGAUGGUAGAAUUCCAGGUGUAGCGGUGAAAUGCGUAGAGAUCUGGAGGAAUACCGAUGGCGAAGGCAGCCAUCUGGCCUAAUACUGACGCUGAGGUACGAAAGCAUGGGGAGCAAACAGGAUUAGAUACCCGCGUAGUCCCUGUCUCUUAUAC
rnacentral:rRNA from 1 species